UUUCCGUUGGUGAACCUGCGGAAGGAUCAUUAUUGGAUUUUGAAACUUCAGGCUGCUGCUGGCUCUCCUCGGAGGGCAUGUGCACGCUUGUUGUCCAUUAUUUCUCCCACUGUGCACAAAUUGUAGACCUUUCAGUAGGCCUAUGUUGUUUUUCACAAUCUCUGAAUGUAAUAGAAUGGUUUUGAAUCUUGGGAAAUACAAUACAACUUUCAGCAACGGAUCUCUUGGCUCUCGCAUCGAUGAAGAACGUAGC
rnacentral:misc_RNA from 1 species